rnacentral:rRNA from 1 species
CCUACGGGAGGCUGCAGUGGGGAAUAUUGCACAAUGGGCGCAAGCCUGAUGCAGCCAUGCCGCGUGUGUGAAGAAGGCCUUCGGGUUGUAAAGCACUUUCAGCGGGGAGGAAGGCGGUGAGGUUAAUAACCUCAUCGAUUGACGUUACCCGCAGAAGAAGCACCGGCUAACUCCGUGCCAGCAGCCGCGGUAAUACGGAGGGUGCAAGCGUUAAUCGGAAUUACUGGGCGUAAAGCGCACGCAGGCGGUCUGUCAAGUCGGAUGUGAAAUCCCCGGGCUCAAUCUGGGAACUGCAUUCGAAACUGGCAGGCUAGAGUCUUGUAGAGGGGGGUAGAAUUCCAGGUGUAGCGGUGAAAUGCGUAGAGAUCUGGAGGAAUACCGGUGGCGAAGGCGGCCCCCUGGACAAAGACUGACGCUCAGGUGCGAAAGCGUGGGGAGCAAACAGGAUUAGAUACCCGGGUAGUC